AUCGAACGCUGGCGGCAGGCUUAACACAUGCAAGUCGAGCGAGCGGCGGACGGGUGAGUGAUGUCUGGGAACCUGGCUGAUGGAGCGGGAUAACUACUGGAACCGGUGGCUAAUACCGCAUACCGCCCGAUGGGCCCAGAUGGGAUUAGCUAGUAGGUGGGGUAAUGGCUCACCUAGGCGACGAUCCCUAGCUGGUCUGAGAGGAUGACCAGCCACACUGGAACUGAGACACGGUCCAGACUCCUACGGGAGGCAGCAGUGGGGAAUAUUGCACAAUGGGCGCAAGCCUGAUGCAGCCAUGCCGCGUGUGUGAAGAAGGCUUUCGGGUUGUAAAGCACUUUCAGCGAGGAGGCGUUACUCGCAGAAGAAGCACCGGCUAACUCCGUGCCAGCAGCCGCGGUAAUUC
rnacentral:rRNA from 1 species